rnacentral:antisense_RNA from 1 species
CUUCAACGAGCCCAGCCACAGCGGGUCGCCGCCCUGCCGUUCCUGGCCGUAGGUGGCGAGCAGGGCCUCGGCCUC